rnacentral:rRNA from 1 species
CACGUAGGGGGCAAGCGUUGUCCGGAUCUAUUGGGCGUAAAGAGCUCGUAGGCGGUUCGGUAAGUCGGGUGUGAAACCUCCAGGCUCAACCUGGAGACGCCACCCGAUACUGCUGUGACUAGAGUCCGGUAGGGGAGCGUGGAAUUCCUGGUGUAGCGGUGAAAUGCGCAGAUAUCAGGAGGAACACCAGCGGCGAAGGCGGCGCUCUGGGCCGGAACUGACGCUGAGGAGCGAAAGCGUGGGGAGCAAACAGG